UUGGUAGAGUUGUUUGUGAUAGAUGGUGAAUCACUUGCUAUUGGGAGACAUCGGUGAUUGUAGAGUUUAUUUUUUGGAAUAAAAUUGGAAGAGUGAUAAAGAAGUUAAUAAUGCAUCAGUUGUUAGUAACAUAGUGUGGCUAGAUGAAUCCAUUAUUGUUGUUACUACAAAUGUGAUUAGUAUGAUUUUGUCUAUUAUUUAGUGGAUAUAUAUUAUAAUUAUCUUAAUUUUUAUUAAAAAAAAAAUGUCUUUA
rnacentral:lncRNA from 1 species